GACGAACGCUGGCGGCGUGCCUAAUACAUGCAAGUCGAGCGAAUGGAUGGGAGCUUGCUCCCUGAAGUUAGCGGCGGACGGGUGAGUAACACGUGGGCAACCUGCCCGUAAGACUGGGAUAACUUCGGGAAACCGGAGCUAAUCCCGGAUACAUUAUUUCUUCGCCUGAAGAAAGAUGGAACGCUGGUUUCGGCUAUCACUUGCAGAUGGGCCCGAGGCGCAUUAGCUAGUUGGUGAGGUAACGGCUCACCAAGUCAACGAUGCGUAGCCGACCUGAGAGGGUGAUCGGCCACACUGGGACUGAGACACGGCCCAGACUCCUACGGGAGGCAGCAGUAGGGAAUCUUCCGCAAUGGACGAAAGUCUGACGGAGCAACGCCGCGUGAGCGAAGAAGGCCUUCGGGUCGUAAAGCUCUGUUGUUAGGGAAGAACAAGUACCAGAGUAACUGCUGGUACCUUGACGGUACCUAACCAGAAAGCCACGGCUAACUACGUGCCAGCAGCCGCCGUAAUAC
rnacentral:rRNA from 1 species